UACGUAGGGUGCGAGCGUUAAUCGGAAUUACUGGGCGUAAAGCGUGCGCAGGCGGUUUUGUAAGUCAGAUGUGAAAUCCCCGGGCUCAACCUGGGAACUGCAUUUGAGACUGCAAGGCUAGAGUGUGGCAGAGGGGGGUGGAAUUCCACGUGUAGCAGUGAAAUGCGUAGAGAUGUGGAGGAACACCGAUGGCGAAGGCAGCCCCCUGGGCCAAUACUGACGCUCAUGCACGAAAGCGUGGGGAGCAAACAGG
rnacentral:rRNA from 2 species